UCGGGAAUUUUGGGCAAUGGGCGAAAGCCUGACCCAGCAACGCCGCGUGAAGGAUGAAGUAUUUCGGUAUGUAAACUUCGAAAGAAUAGGAAGAAUAAAUGACGGUACUAUUUAUAAGGUCCGGCUAACUACGUGCCAGCAGCCGCGGUAAUACGUAGGGACCAAGCGUUGUUCGGAUUUACUGGGCGUAAAGGGCGCGUAGGCGGCAAUUCAAGUCAUCUGUGAAAUCUCCGGGCUUAACUCGGAACGGUCAGAUGAUACUGCUUUGCUAGAGUGCAGAAGGGGUCAAUCGGAAUUCUUGGUGUAGAGGUGAAAUUCGUAGAUAUUCGGAAGAACACCAGUGGCGAAGGCGGCUCACUGGCUCGAUACUGACGCUGAGGUGCGAAAGCGUGGGGAGCAAACAGGAUUAGAUACC
rnacentral:rRNA from 1 species